CCCGGAUUCAUGGAUGUUAGAUGUUUGUGAAAGAUUUGAAGAUUUAGAAUGAAACAUAAAAAAGGGUUUUGAAUUUUGUUAUGAACAUGACAAUUUCGGUAUUACCAUCAAAGUUUAAAGAGAUUUGGGUGUAAUCGGAUAUUUCUGGGUAACUAAAAUAAGUUUUUUUUGUAGCCUCUUGUUUUGAAUUUCUUUAACAAAGAAACAACACCCAAUAAUCCCAACACCAUGAUAAUUUUCAACCACUUGGUUCAUUAUGUUGAGCUUGCAACUAUAAUUUGAUCAAAAUGAUGAAAUUUUAAUAUAAUAACCAAAUUACAGAUGCAAGUGUUGGUCUAUAUGGCAAGAUAGGAUACACACUAGAGGGGGGUGAAUAACAUUUUACAAAAUUUAUCGAGCUUUUAGCGAAAGCGUGUUUGAAAACAAUUUGACUAAUUGGAUUUGUGCUCGAAACAAUAAUUAUGACAAAGAGAUUAAGACAAAGUAAAGCACAAUAAGAAUUACUAUUGAAUUGAGAGAUUCAAAUGCUAAAUCUUAAUACAAUCAAUGAUCAAUAAUGCUUACACAAUAUACA
rnacentral:lncRNA from 1 species